UGCCCUCCCAAGUGUCCAGAUAAGACACUUGACAAGAGUUAAGUUGGAACAGGGUCUGUGAGGCAGUCAUCUGGAGGUUGCAGUCAUCUAGCUUCUGUGGAUUUUGCUUUAAAGAUAGUUUCUAGUUCUUUGCAUCCACAUAAGCUAUCUGAUGGUAGAAUACAUUCUGAAAUACGACUGGCCUUGUGCUUCUCUGGGUACAUGGUCUCAAA
rnacentral:lncRNA from 1 species